AAUACUUGGAGGGGUUUCUGACAAUACUGGAUCUGGCAUUGCUCAAAGAUUAGUGAUAAAGACUGGUCUCAAUGUGAUUUUGGCUUGCAAUAUGGCUAACAAUAAUCCUAUGAUUGAGGUUUGGUUCCCUCUCAUGUGUUUGUGUUUUGGUUAUUGACCUUGUUAUGUGUGAUUCACUUCUUUUUGUUGUUGUGUGUGUUUAGAGCUUGUUGCUAUAUAUAUAUAUUGAGUUUUUAAGUAAAUGUGGAGAAGAAGUUGGUUGAGAAGCUGAUAAGUUUGGGGUAUAGAAGGCCAAAAUCUUCAUAGCAAAGAGGGAUCGCCUUUCUGUUCUGUGGUUGAAAGUGCCAUUAUGAUAUAUGCUCCUGUUGAAACAGAGGAAUUAUUAAAGGGGUUCAAUACCCAUAUACUGAUUUACUGAUAGUAAUUUGUUUUGUUUUCCUCAAUAGUUGAUAUUCAGUGAUUUGGAGGUGUUAUAAUUGAAUCUUGAUUAGCUCUAGCUUUUUCCUUAUUAGGAGCCCUGUCUUGUUACACAAGAAAGGUUACUGUUAUGAAGAAAAUUUUAAGUUUCCCUUAUCCGGUUUGUAAAUAGUUGUUCCUAUGAAAUCUAUGUGCAUUGAUCUUGCCGCUUUUUCCUGUUUAUGACUGAUGUGAUUUCUUUUGGGACUUAUGUAAUUUAUUUAGUAACACAUCUUGUGGAACUGAUGGUGCAAAGCUGCCCUUUGGAUCAAUGAGACAAGUUGAUGAUUAUAAUGGCCCAAUUUCAGGUCUGAAUCUGUAUUCUUCAGUAACCCAACACAUGAUGCCAACUUUUUAUGUGAUACAGCCAUCUGGAACCCAACACAUCAUCCUCCCUGAAUAUUAAUAUUUGUAAUUUUGUUGACACCUCCAAGAAUAGAAUUGAUACUUAUUAAAUGUUCAAAAAGUAAUCCUCUUAAGCAAAGGAUAAAGUACCUUUAAAAAAUUUUUAAGAUUGGAAUAUUAGCUUCCUUCUGUUCCUUAUAAAAGACUAUGAAGCUGAUUGGUGUAACCUGUAUCUCUACAAUUCAACAAAUUGCCAUGGACGGAAUCUUUGAUGAUAAGGAUGGGAUCAUAAGAUCUACAUCUGAUGCACCACCAACUCAUGACACUGUCAAAAUACAAUUAUUUUUACUACUAUGAAGAAUGCAGUGGAGAAAUAUGAAUCUGGGAAUUUGAGGCCGGAGGCUAC